rnacentral:rRNA from 1 species
UACGGGGGGGGGCAAGCGUUGUUCGGAAUUACUGGGCGUAAAGGGCUUGUAGGCGGCCAACUAAGUCCGACGUGAAAUCCCCAGGCUUAACCUGGGAACUGCGUCGGAUACUGGAUGGCUUGAAUUCGGGAGAGGGAUGCAGAAUUCCAGGUGUAGCGGUGAAAUGCGCAGAUAUCAGGAGGAACACCGGUGGCGAAGGCGGAUCUCUGGGCCUUACCUGACGCUGAGGCGCGAAAGCUAGGGGAGCGAACAGGG